UACAUGUGGGGCAAGCGUUGUUCGGAAUUACUGGGCAUAAAGGGUGCGUAGGUGGCUUGUUAAGUCAGGGGUGAAAGUUUUCGGCCCAACCGGAAAAUGGCCUUUGAUACUGGCGAGCUCGAGUGCGUGAGGGGUAACCGGAACGAGCAGUGUAGCGGUGAAAUGCGUAGAUAUUGCUCGGAAGGCCAACGGCGAAGGCAGGUUACUGGUGCGCAACUGACACUGAGGCACGAAAGCGCGGGGAGCAAACAGG
rnacentral:rRNA from 1 species